GAUGAACGCUGGCGGCGUGCCUAACACAUGCAAGUCGAGCGGCAGCGAGGGGUGCUUGCACCCUGUCGGCGAGCGGCGGACGGCUGAGUAACGCGUGGUAACGUGCCCCAAAGUGAGGAAUAACUGCCCGAAAGGGUAGCUAAUACCGCAUAUUAUCUUCGGAUCAAAGGAUUUAUCCGCUUUGGGAGCGGCUCGCGUCGGAUUAGGUAGUUGGUGAGGUAAUGGCUCACCAAGCCGACGAUCCGUAGCUGGUCUGAGAGGAUGACCAGCCAGACUGGAACUGAGACACGGUCCAGACUCCUACGGGAGGCAGCAGUGAGGAAUCUUCCACAAUGGGCGAAAGCCUGAUGGAGCAACGCCGCGUGCAGGACGAAGGCCUUCGGGUUGUAAACUGCUUUUAUAAGUGAGGAAUAUGACGGUAACUGAUGAAUAAGGAUCGGCUAACUACGUG
rnacentral:rRNA from 1 species